UGAUUCAUAUUGCCAUUGCCAAUUCCCAUUGUUGAUAGGAGUCUGGGUCUGGUGUUCCUGAUAUGAUUUGGAAUGUCCACAUAUGUCCAGGAUGGAGCAUUUGUGACAAUUCAAGAGAUGCAGAUAUCCCAGUGCAGGCAGAGGGUACAGAGGACCUCAAACAG